GGCAGCGGUGGUGAGAGGUCCCGAUCCUUGGUCGCUGGUCCCUGGGCGCGUGUGAGGAGGCCCGGCGGAGGUCGCAUGGGGGGUACACAUCUGGAACUGCAGCUAAACUUCUGUGCACAGCCUUAUAUAUGGAGAAGGCAGGGUCAAGACCUCUCGGGGUCUCUCUGUUAGCGCGUGUGAGGCUCCCUAUGGAAAGGCCACCGUUGCUGGAGGGGGC